rnacentral:lncRNA from 1 species
CUCAGGGCGGUGCCCGGCCCGCCUGCCGCCAUCCGCCUGCGCGGCACUACCGUAAAACGAUGAAGGUAAUCGCGCUGAUAACGAUUAUGAACAACGGUAGCCCUCUUCACAGCGACUGCUUUUAACAAGGUUGAGAAAGGCAGGAUUUCACUGGUACAGUCAUAAAAACAAGGAUUGAAGUUGAGAAGCAUGUGAUGAAUUCGGUCUCAUUUUAAAUGCAAUUAAUAGAAGACAUCCUGUACAACAAACGACUUUAUUUUAACAUUUUACCUUUUAAACGUGCUGCUUGUAAAAACUGUUCCCCAAAACACGGGACUCUGGAGAAAAGCAGCUCUCAUUUUCUCUACAUCUCCAUAAAAGAGAGAGCUGCCAAAUUAGGUUUGGGAAUAUAAGAUCAAGGUUUACAUAAUGAAGAGUACAGCAGACACCAGCAGGCGUGGAAAACAAACCAGCAGGCACCAGCCUUGCUUCUCCACGCUCCUACAUGUUGCUUUCUUGUGACUACUUAUUUGUGUUCUCCUUUAGAUCUUUAAAAAUAACAAAAGCCCACCAUCUGUCAGAGCAGCAGUACCGGUUCACCUCUGAAGCAAUGAAACCUGGAAGAUUCCUCCAUUGGAGAUUUCCCCAGGUACCUCCAUGGCAAAAGGCGCAAGUGGUUCAAGUUGCUCCUCUGCUACCUCCCCAGCUUUCAUUUACUCUUUCCACCCAGUGUGGCAAACAUUACUUCAGGGUUCAUCAGCUGUUAGGCAAUGCUUUGAGCUGUGCUUUGUUCUCUACUUAGUUCAAUCAGUACUGAAAAACUGUUUUUCGCAGCUCUACCUAAGCACCAAAAGGAACUGAGGCAAUGUGGCAGAAAACAGGGCAGCGGUGGUAGAGGGAACAAAAAUAAAAAGGAAGGUCUACAUAGCAGUGAGUUCAUGAGUUCAUGAAGGUACAAAAAUAUAUUAAAAUCUAGCCAAGAAUGCUAGCCUUUAUUCAUUUGUUCUCCUGAAGUGUGUAAAAGUAAUAGUUUCUUUUUCCGAUAUUCUUCAUUCUCCUGCUCUGCUUCCUCAUCCAGUGAUCUUCUUACACAUGCUUUUAGUUCCUCAAUUCCUUCUCCAGUAUAUGUAGAUAUAGGAAUUAUCUCUCUGAAAUCAACUGUGUUCUCAGGAAUCACUUCUUCCUCUAGUAAGUGUAAGAAGUCUUCAGGAUUCUGUAGUUGUUUCAUAAGUUCAUUCAGGUUAUCUUUUGCACAAGGCAAAUCCAUUUUAUUAAUGGCAAGAAGUGCAGGCUUUGUUAGAAGUUCUUCAUUGUACAGCUCCAAUUCCUUUGUUAGAAGCAAUACUGUUUCAAAGGCUGUUCUGAACUGAGUCUUAUUAGAGAGCUGAAACCCAGAAAUAUCAACGACUAAGAGGAGGUGUUUGGUUCUUUCCACAUGUUUGAGAAAUUUGUGCCCCCUCCCCUUGUUC